rnacentral:rRNA from 1 species
UACGGGGGGAGCAAGCGUUGUUCGGAUUUACUGGGCGUAAAGGGCGCGUAGGCGGCCACCGCAAGUCAAUUGUGAAAUCUCCGGGCUUAACUCGGAAAGGUCAACUGAUACUGCGGGGCUAGAGUGCGGAAGGGGCAACUGGAAUUCUUGGUGUAGCGGUGAAAUGCGUAGAUAUCAAGAGGAACACCUGCGGCGAAGGCGGGUUGCUGGGCCGACACUGACGCUGAGGCGCGAAAGCCAGGGGAGCGAACGGG